GAACGCUGGCGGCGUGCCUAAUACAUGCAAGUCGAACGGUCUUUCUAUGGAAGCUGCUCACUGAGAAGAUAGUGGCGGACGGGUGAGUAACACGUGGGUAACCUGCCCAUAAGAGGGGGAUAACAUCCGGAAACGGGUGCUAAUACCGCAUAGUUCUCUUGAUCGCAUGAUCGAGAAAGGAAAGACGGCCUUUGUGCUGUCGCUUAUGGAUGGACCCGCGGCGUAUUAGUUAGUUGGUGAGGUAAUGGCUCACCAAGACGAUGAUACGUAGCCGACCUGAGAGGGUGAUCGGCCACAUUGGGACUGAGACACGGCCCAAACUCCUACGGGAGGCAGCAGUAGGGAAUCUUCCGCAAUGGACGAAAGUCUGACGGAGCAACGCCGCGUGAGUGAAGAAGGUUUUCGGAAUCGUAAAACUCUGUUGUCAGAGAAGAACAAGUUGGAGAGUAACUGCUCCAGCCUUGACGGUAUCUGACCAGAAAGCCACGGCUAACUACGUGCCAGCAGCAGC
rnacentral:rRNA from 1 species